rnacentral:rRNA from 1 species
AGAGUUUGAUCCUGGCUCAGGACGAACGCUGGCGGCACGCUUAACACAUGCAAGUCGAACGAGAGAAGAGGAGCUUGCUUUUCUGAUCUAGUGGCGGACGGGUGAGUAACACGUGAGCAAUCUGCCUUUCAGAGGGGGAUACCGAUUGGAAACGAUCGUUAAUACCGCAUAACAUAAUUGAACCGCAUGGUUUGAUUAUCAAAGAUUUAUCGCUGAAAGAUGAGCUCGCGUCUGAUUAGCUAGUUGGUAAGGUAACGGCUUACCAAGGCGACGAUCAGUAGCCGGACUGAGAGGUUGAUCGGCCACAUUGGGACUGAGACACGGCCCAGACUCCUACGGGAGGCAGCAGUGGGGAAUAUUGCACAAUGGAGGAAACUCUGAUGCAGCGAUGCCGCGUGAGGGAAGAAGGUUUUAGGAUUGUAAACCUCUGUCUUCAGGGACGAAAAAAGACGGUACCUGAGGAGGAAGCUCCGGCUAACUACGUGCCAGCAGCCGCGGUAAUACGUAGGGAGCGAGCGUUGUCCGGAAUUACUGGGUGUAAAGGGAGCGUAGGCGGGAUCGCAAGUCAGAUGUGAAAACUAUGGGCUUAACCCAUAAACUGCAUUUGAAACUGUGGUUCUUGAGUGAAGUAGAGGUAAGCGGAAUUCCUAGUGUAGCGGUGAAAUGCGUAGAUAUUAGGAGGAACAUCAGUGGCGAAGGCGGCUUACUGGGCUUUAACUGACGCUGAGGCUCGAAAGCGUGGGGAGCAAACAGGAUUAGAUACCCUGGUAGUCCACGCCGUAAACGAUGAUUACUAGGUGUGGGGGGACUGACCCCUUCCGUGCCGCAGCAAACGCAAUAAGUAAUCCACCUGGGGAGUACGACCGCAAGGUUGAAACUCAAAGGAAUUGACGGGGGCCCGCACAAGCAGUGGAGUAUGUGGAUUAAUUCGAAGCAACGCGAAGAACCUUACCAGGUCUUGACAUCGUAUGCAUAGCUCAGAGAUGAGUGAAAUCUCUUCGGAGACAUAUAGACAGGUGGUGCAUGGUUGUCGUCAGCUCGUGUCGUGAGAUGUUGGGUUAAGUCCCGCAACGAGCGCAACCCUUACUGUUAGUUGCUACGCAAGAGCACUCUAGCAGGACUGCCGUUGACAAAACGGAGGAAGGUGGGGAUGACGUCAAAUCAUCAUGCCCCUUAUGACCUGGGCCUCACACGUACUACAAUGGCUGUCAACAGAGGGAAGCAAAGCCGCGAGGUGGAGCGAACCCCUAAAAGCAGUCUUAGUUCGGAUUGUAGGCUGCAACCCGCCUACAUGAAGUCGGAAUUGCUAGUAAUCGCAGAUCAGCAUGCUGCGGUGAAUACGUUCCCGGGCCUUGUACACACCGCCCGUCACGCCAUGGGAGUCGGUAACACCCGAAGCCUGUAGUCUAACCGCAAGGAGGACGCAGUCGAAGGUGGGAUUGAUGACUGGGGUGAAGUCGAAACAAGGUA